rnacentral:sRNA from 1 species
AGUUUCUAAGGAUCAUGUCUGCGAGCCAGGAUUCCCGAUCCAGAGACAAUGGCCCCGAUGGGAUGGAGCCCGAAGGCGUUAUCGAGAGUAACUGGAAUGAGAUUGUUGACAGCUUUGAUGACAUGAACCUCUCGGAGUCCCUUCUCCGUGGCAUCUACGCCUAUGGUUUUGAGAAGCCCUCUGCCAUCCAGCAGCGAGCCAUUCUACCUUGUAUCAAGGGUUAUGAUGUGAUUGCUCAAGCCCAAUCUGGGACUGGGAAAACGGCCACAUUUGCCAUAUCGAUUCUGCAGCAGAUUGAAUUAGAUCUAAAAGCCACCCAGGCCUUGGUCCUAGCACCCACUCGAGAAUUGGCUCAGCAGAUACAGAAGGUGGUCAUGGCACUAGGAGACUACAUGGGCGCCUCCUGUCAUGCCUGUAUCGGGGGCACCAACGUGCGUGCUGAGGUGCAGAAACUGCAGAUGGAAGCUCCCCACAUCAUCGUGGGUACCCCUGGCCGUGUGUUUGAUAUGCUUAACCGGAGAUACCUGUGUGAGUAAUUCAGUUCUCCAAUCCCCUGGGUCACUUUGCUCUUGUGCACGCUUUCCAGUCUUUCAGCGUAAGCCAAAGUCAUUCCCAAGGAUGCUGGUUUCCCUCUGGGGAAGAGCUGCUCUGUGAUGGAGCCCAUGCGUGUCAUCUGAGCCUCUGGCUUCCCUGCCAGCGCAGCCCAGGCAGUGUCCUACUUCCCAGGGCUGUUGUCUGCCUGGCGGGAAGGUCCUGGGCAAAGGAUCAGUCUUUGUACUCUGAGAGCAGACUACUUGACCCCUGUCUGUUUUUUAUCAGCGAAGUUGGAUAUAUCUCUUCCACAUUUCCCUAAUUAUAUGCUAUAUAUUGGCUUUUUUUUCUUCUCUAGCUCCCAAAUACAUCAAGAUGUUUGUAUUGGAUGAAGCUGACGAAAUGCUAAGCCGUGGAUUCAAGGACCAGAUCUAUGACAUAUUCCAAAAGCUCAACAGCAACACCCAGGUAGUUUUGCUGUCAGCCAC